AACGCGAAGAACCUUACCAAGGCUUGACAUAUACGAGAACGGGCCAGAAAUGGUCAACUCUUUGGACACUCGUAAACAGGUGGUGCAUGGUUGUCGUCAGCUCGUGUCGUGAGAUGUUGGGUUAAGUCCCGCAACGAGCGCAACCCUUGUCCCUAGUUGCUACGCAAGAGCACUCUAGGGAGACUGCCGGUGACAAACCGGAGGAAGGUGGGGAUGACGUCAAGUCCUCAUGGCCCUUAUGGGUAGGGCUUCACACGUCAUACAAUGGUCGGUACAGAGGGUUGCCAAGCCGCGAGGUGGAGCCAAUCCCAGAAAGCCGAUCGUAGUCCGGAUUGUUCUCUGCAACUCGAGAGCAUGAAGUCGGAAUCGCUAGUAAUCGCGGAUCAGCAUGCCGCGGUGAAUACGUUCCCGGGUCUUGUACACACGC
rnacentral:rRNA from 1 species